AAAGAGAUGAUCUUUCAGGUCCCUUCAAAGGAAAACCAUCACAGAGUUGAUCCUGUGAGCCUCUGCAGGAAAGAUUCGGCUUCCCUGGUACUGGCCUGGUUCCUGUGCCUGCACCCUGCAGUUCCUGCGCCCAUCCCAAAGAUUUCCCUGCUGGCCCCACAGCCCGUUGCCGCUGCAACGCGGGUGUCACAAGAGGUGUUGUGUGGGCACAACGGUGACACUGAUUGCAACAGCCCCAGGAGGCACCUCAGCCUCUGCCCCUGCAGCAGGGAGGGACCAGGGCCAGCCCCAGCACCCCCAGAGCCAUGGGGCACUCCCGGGUUGGCCCAGGGCACUUGUGCCAGCAGCAAUUGGGGCCUGUCCCACCCACCAGCACUGCUAUAAACCCAGCGUCUUUGGGGCACAGCAGCAUUCCCUGGCCCCAAGGGCAUCUGGACACAGCCAUUCCUCUUGGGUUUGCUGCUGCCUGAACACCAAAGCCUUUGUCAGGGAGCCCUGUGAAGACCCGGGAGAGGCAGCAGCCAUGAAGAUCCUGUUCCUGCUCUUCCCCCUGAUCCUCCUGCUGGUCCAGGGUGCUGCAGGCAAUGCAAUUGUAUGCAGAAGAGUAGGAGGUUUCUGCUCGAGGCAUUUUUGCCCCCGCGGUAGCCGUUUUGUGGGAAGAUGUGCACGAGAAUUUGUGUGCUGCAAAAGUGGCAGGGGUUGAAAACCUGAAAUUCCUGAAAAGGUCAUGCCCCUCGCUUCUGGCUCCAGGACCCAUCUGCUGAUGUCCCCUUCUGCCGAUGUCCCCUCCUGUCCCUGCUGUGCCCUGCCCAGCUGGGCUGACAGCAGCAGUGGCAGCUGCUCCUGCUGGCUGCUGCUGGGCUGGAGCCCUGUGGCGCCAGCCCCGGUGUCUUUGGGGCAGGGGCUGCUUUUCCCGGCUUGAAUAAAG